AGUUUGCAGGUGCCUAUGUUACCGUGCAGAUGACGCAACCAAGCUCAAGGAGGAGCUCGAUGAAGAUCUUGCCCUUUGUGUUGUUUCGUUCUAGUUGAUUAGUAGUGGAGCCCAGUUGGGGUCGAUCGGGGACCUUUGUCGCAUUUGGGGUUCUUCUUUUAUUUUGGUUCCGUAGUCGGACCUUGAUUGUAUCUGGAUGAUGUAAUGCUUUAUUCAUGUAAUUGUGUGAAGUGGCGAUUGUAAGCCAACUAUGUAUCUCUUUCCCUUAUGUAUUACAUGGGUUGUGUGAAGAUUACCUCACUUGCGACAUUGCUUUCAAUGCGGUUAUGCCUCUAAGUCGUGCUUCGACACGUGGGAGAUAUAGCCACAUCGAGGGCGUUACAAGUUGGUAAUCAGAGCCUUCCCCGACCUUAGGAGCCCCACUGCUUGAUCGUUUUUAGCGGCCGAGUUGUGUCUAGAAAAAAUGUUUUGAGUCAUUUAGGAUUAUAUAUAUCGGAGAGUUAGGAAUUCUUUUUUACUCCCCAGUCUCUUCAUCGCUCUGGUAAGGCAUCCUGACGUAGAGUUUUGACUCUUCUCUUCUCAAAUUUCACUAAAUUUUUUUUUAGGAUCACGCGGGUAUCUUGGAAUCGUUCCGAUGGUUUUAUGAUGAGAACAUUGUCUUGGUGCCUCCUGUCAGGGGUUUAGUGGAAGUGUCCCGGGGAGUUGAGCUCUGAGGUGUUGUCGUCAUAAUUUUAUCGUUGCAGUUCUGGAAUACCUGAGUUUAGUACGCCGACAUCAAAAAUCUCUUUUAUGCAGUUCGUUGGUGAGAUAACCCCGAUAACCCAGUACUGAGGUGAGUACGGGAGUAUUGCCAUGACUUGUAUAACGGAUGCUUUUCGAAGGUUGAGGUAGAUGGUUUCCGAAGUUUUCUUGGUUAUGUGUUGAAGGAUGGAUACAGCUGGAUGUAGGAUUUGCUAGUUUGGGUGAGAUAUUAUGCUUCCCCUGUAUCCCCAACACCUGAUUGCAUAACCGGAAAAUUUCGGGAGUUUCAUAGGUGGGAAUUCAAGUAGCUCUUAGGAUAUCUUUCCAACAGAUGUACGAUAUGAAAUUGGGGUUCGAUGUCUAGUGGUCCGCCUAUUCACGGUCGAUUUUACAGUGGUCUCGUUGUGUCUUAAAGAGUCCUUGGCUAUGCCGACUCGGGGACGCUUCGUAUGUCAUGUGCACUGCCUUGUACAUGAUGGUGCUGUACGAUCGAGCCCGUGUAGGCCCCACCACGAAAACUUCGGACGAAAUCUCUAUCAUAUGUUUGUUCCGGCUUAUUCUGCAAGCCAAUCCUUUGUUUUGUUUUGAGCUAUGGUAUUCAAGUUGCUUCAAUGUCAAGUGUUGAUUCCAUACCUUUCCGAAAUGGUGUUCUCAUACUCCGAUGUGAAUACUAAUCCUUCUUGAUCAUCGAGUCUGUCUUGUCAAUCCUUUUUUUUAACCGGUGUGUCUCUCCUCAAGUGGAUCCGUUCACGUCAACAUUUGCAAGAUCAUUUAUCACUUCUUCUCAACGGUGUUUGUUUCAUCCGUCUCCAAGUUGCCUUUGUUUUUCCCACCCUCCCUCCCUUUUGUUUUCUUCAAGGACUAAGAUUUCUUCUUCUAGUAUCCAUUUUAUUGAUGGGAAGUUUCUCCAUUCUUUUCCGUCAAUAUUCUUAUCCGGUGAUUCUCACGUAUAUUCUAACGGAGCUUCAAGUUCGUCACUCUUCACUCGUUUUCUUCUCCGGUGGUUUAAAUUCAAGCGUUAUUGAUCAUAUCUUUCUCCUCGUUUUACAUACAUUCUCAUACCGGUGCACCUCAUAAUAAUUCACUUCCCGCUAUUCAAUUGUUCCGGAGUGCUCAAGAUAUCUCGAAGAUUCGUGUUUCCACUCUGCAUUCAUUCAAGCUCUUUCGAGAUUGGUAUCUCAUUCAAGUCAUUUAAUUCAACCGGUGCAACAUCUCUUUUAAAUCUUUUCAACGGUGUUCUUUUGAGUGGGCCCUAACCCACAGGUCUUUUUCCAGGAUCUUACCUGACUCUUCUUAUUUUCCCGGUGUUACUCUUAAUUUUUUCUCCAAGUUUGACGUAAGAAUGAGUUAUCAUCAGUCAAAUGCUUUUUCUCCAAGAUCUUUCAAAUUCUUUUCAUAGUUGGCUCAACCUCUUCGCUUUUGAUUCUUCCGGUGUGCCUCAAUAAUUCUUGGUGGUGUUUCUCGUUGUCAUUCUCAUCAUUUGAAGACCGAAGAAGAGUUUCUCUUUAAUCUUGCUCUAUUCUCUUCAAGAUUCAUGGUGCUAGCUUGUUGCCAUCCUCUCAUAAUUGUUUUCGAUUGUGAGAAUCUUUUUCACCCAUCAGGAGAUAUUCAAGAGUCUUCUCAGUUUGUCAUCCGGAGUCCAUCAAUUCAGGUUUAUUCAUUCUCAGCCGUCAGUUAUCAUUCUCCUAUCUUGCCGGUGCAUCUAUUGAAUAUCCUCUAAUCAGUUCUUGAUCUCUUUGUUCUCAGGUAUCUAGUUUGUCUCAAGCAUCCUCGUUCAUUUGCAAAUUCUUCCGGUGAUUCGUUAUCUUUUAUUCAUUCUUUUCAAUUCUUCCUGUGGUUCGUUCAAGAGUUUUCUUCCUUCGUGUAUCAUAUCUAUGUAUUUGUUAUUUCAAUUCUACCGGUGGUUCGUUGAAGACCUUCUCAAGUUUUGAUAUAUCUUUUUUAAUCCUUUCUACGAGAAUAAGUAGUAUGCCAAAUCCGUUGAUUGUCGUCAAUUUAAUUGGUGAAGGAUAAGCAUAAUGUAAUUCUUAUUCUUGUUUCAUCGAGUAAAUUCAAUUCCUUAUUCCGAAGGUUCAUCCAAAAAAUUCUUGGUUUCAAUUGCUCAUCCUUCUUUUUCGAAGUUCCAAGUUCUCUCAGUUAUAUAAUCGCGAAGCUCCAUCUAAAUCAUUGCAAGGCUUCACCUUGUGUUUUCAACUUCUCUUUCUUUUCAUCAUCCUUCUAUUACCGGAUUUCUUCAUGAAGGCUAUACAUGAUGGUUCGUCAAGGAUUCCUUUUAAUCUCGAAUUGUUCUUCAAGAUUUCUCUUGAAGUUAAGAUCUGUCAAGCCAUACUCUAAAAUAAACAUGGUGCUCAACUCAUGUUUUGUUUUGAGGAGUUCAAGCAUUCUUCAUCUUGCAUUCCGAAGUGCAAUUCUUUCUUCCUUAUCUUCUGAGGUGGUGUUAGGUCAUUCUUGAUAAUUUCUCCUUGUGUUUCAUGAUUGACAGGUUGUCAGGAAUGAGAUAUUUAAAUCCAUCUUUUUCUCUUUGUUCAAGAGAUCUUUUCUACCGUCAAUCUCUUCAUUGGAGUUAUCUUGGUAUAGAUUUCACCUAAAGCCUUCCGUUGUGAAUGUUGCUAUUUGUGGUGCUUAUUAAUGACCCAAGUUAUCUCUUUUCCAUCUUGAUGGAACAAGCUUUCAUCUCUUCGUUAAUCUCAAGCAAUUGUUUCCGUUAGUGGCCAUUUGUCACCUCAUAAUUUUGAGAUGUUUUCCAUAAGCCCACUACAAGCUUAUUCGUUUCGUUGUUAGUUUUUCCCAACAACCCCGUUGUAACCUUCUUGGAAGGGUGCUUUCCAAGCUCAAUUGUGGCAGAAGUUGCCAUUUCCCCCUCCAUUCUGUUAUUCCAAUGACCUAUCUUCUAUUCUUUCUUCCGGAGGCAUUGUGAUGUUGCUCUUUUCACUCACCAUCUCGAUUCGUGAGGUUCGUGUUCUUUUCUUGCUUAUCCAUUUAACCGGAGUGUCGUGUUUUCAUUCGAGUUCUCUAAUCUUAUCAAGUUUUCCCUCCUUCCUCAACUGGAGAGCUGUCUGAAAUCCUUCUUACCCAUUGUGCCAUUCUUUCAAUAGUUCCGGAGGCAGUGUGUUGUUGAUUUCAUCAAGUAACAUCCCAUCUUCUCAAGUUCAUGUUCUAUUCCUUCCAUGUUCAACCGGAGUACUGCCCGAAUUCUUCCCCUCUCAUCUUGUUUUAACCGGAGUGGUUUCGAAUUCUAUCUUGUCCAUUAAACUCUUGAUUCAUGUCUUUGCAACCUUCAAGUUCUCGUAAUAUUCCUUGUUCCUCUUUCUAACGGAUUGUUUGCAAUCUCGUUCAUCUCCUUUGUAUUCUUUCUUUCAAUUUGUUCAACCUCUCAAGGUUCUUUGGUUUCACUCAUUGGUCAAAGAAGCAACUUAGUUUACCCUCUUCUCUUCCUCUUCCGUUUCUCUCCGGUGCCAUCCUAGAUCUCGGGACGAGAUCCUCUCGUAGUGGUGGAGUGUUGUAACGCCCCGAGACCGACGAUCAGAAGACUUCCAGCUAUUCCGAGUUCCUCCGUGUGUUUUUUUUAUUUGUGCUUGCUCUAUUUAUUUUUGCAUUGCAUCAUGUCAUCAUGCAGUCAUCUCUUAAAUCUUUUGCAACUCUUCCAAAUAAAUUGUAUGGAUUUUUCGAUCCAUUUAAACCGAGGGAACUCACAUGGUGACUUCUCUUUAUAACUUAUCCUCCAAUAUUAGGGAGCUAUAUUAAAUAUUUCUUUAUUUCGGAAAUCACCAAAACACACUUGCAAAAUAAUUCCCCAUGCCUUUGACCUCAAACGUUGUCCAAUAAUUUAUUUCAUCAUUUUCCGGAGCUCCACCAAAAAUCACAACAUUUUUGGACCUUCCCUUUACCUAGUCCUAGUUCAAACCUAUUGAAUUAAAUUCAAAUGAUUUUGAAUUUAAUCUUGCAAUCUUGCUCACUUCUAUUUUCUUGGGACUAGCGCAUUUUUGUGAGUCCAAGAAUAUUAUUUGCAUGUGCUAAUUCUUUGCCUAUCCUUCUCUUUCUUUUCUUUCUCUUUUUCUGUUUUGUUUUAAAUGGGAAAAUGAGAGAGAGAAGAGAGAGUGCAGCCUGUAGCCCAGUCGGCCUCCUGCAGCCCAGCUAGGCCCUUUGUCAGCCCACCAGGCCUCUGCCAUUUUUUCUCUCCACUGGGCCGGCCUCCCAGGCCCAGCCGGCGCCCCACCGAUCCGACCUAACCCUAGCCCGACUCCUAUCGGUCUCCAUCUCCCCUCGAUCUCCUCCCUCACGCCCCUUCUUCCUCUGCCGCUGCGCCGUCGUUCUGGCCGGCGAGCCCAUCUCCUCCGUCCAUCCCCAUCGUCCCGCUGCUGCGCCGUCUUCUUCACCUCCUGCCCGCGUCCCUCUGCUGCCUUGUCGCCGUCGAGCUGCGCCGCAGCGCCGACCUCGCCCGCGCCACCACUUAUCCACCUCUCCUGGACCUCCGCACGCCGGCCACAGGAGCCGCUGCUGGCUGCCGUCCCGCGCUCCUCGCUCCCCUUGCCAGCCAGGAGCUUGUCCCCGAGCUCGGCCAACUCCGGCGGCCCCGGCGCCCGCGCCAAGCUUGCCGCCUCGCCAUCUGGUUCCGCCUCAGCCAUCCCCGAGCGCCACCGUCCGGCUCCCGUCGCCCCUUUGCAGGAGCAGCCCCAUGCCCCGCCUCUGCCUUGUUCGAGCAGGGAGGAGGAUGUGCCUCCGCUCGCCCUCAUCGACCAGGAACGCCAAGGCCAAGACCAGCCCCGGGCAGGACCUCGUGUUCAUCUACAUCGCCAAGACCCUAGGCCUUUUGGUGUUGCUCUGUUUUGGAACGCCAAGUACCUCGACGCCGAAGACCCGUGUACAACUACUGUUUCCUGCCUAGAACGACUACCGUCGAUGUGCAUUUCGCCAAGUACCGCUACCGACGAGCCCCGAAGGACUUGGUUGCGACAAGUUCCUCUCCAAAUGUGAACGUCUACUUCCACGACUGCUGCAAGAACAACUACUUCCACGACGUCCGUGAACCACUACCGUCGCCCCGAAGAUGUUGGAUUCGUCAAGUACCUCUCCGAAAACGAACAUGUACCACUACUUCCACGACGCCCGUGAACGUCUACUUCCCUCUACGAACUCGAUCCGCCCGAAACGCACGUUUCGAAGGUAUAACCCGAGACGACCGCGAUGAGAUGCCCUUGCAUGUAUGAGAUGCUCGUGUUUGCACCGUGCCCGUUUGUCUUUGCACGUUCCUCCUCGUUUGCCAUGCCGUCGACCCGUGGGAACCCGGUAGUCGGGAGCACCCCACCAUCUUUUGCAUGUUCCGCACAUCCGCACAUUUGCUCUUUUGCACCGGUAUCUCAAUGAGUUAUCGGAUCAUCGGAAUGUUGCCGUGGCACCAUUUUCGGAUAUGCUGCCGUGGCAACAUUUUUGUUUCACCGCCGUGGCACCUUUUUCCUUCUGCCAUGGUGACAAAUGCUUCAUAACAUGCUCAUGUCAACAUUUUCAUAAAAUUGCAUAAAACUUGUAUAUGUCAUCCGCAUCAUGAUAACAACAUUUAAAAUGUUUAAACUUGUUGUUGCAUUAAAUUGCUAAAUGCAUAUGGGGAUUUACCGGAUUUGUUGUUUUUAUAUCCGGCCCCAUUUAAAUUGUUUAGAUGGUAUAGUUUAUAUUAUGCUUCCCCUCUUGCCAUGCUUAACAACAUUUAAUAUUGUUGGGUACAUAAACGGGAUCAAACUAAAUAACUUAUCGUGGUGUUUCGUCAAUAUGCAGUUGCAUAUUGAGCUCCAUUUAAUUUGUAGGAUUGUUUGUCGCACUUUGCCAUGCCAUGCCUCAUUAAACCAGACAUGCAUCAUACUUGUUUGUGCAUCAUGACUUGUUUAUGCUUGUGUGUUUACUAUGUUGUUUGUUUCUUUCCGGGUUGCUUCUCUCGUUAGCUUCGGUUUCGUUCCGGAGUUGUGAGGAUUUGUUCGUCUACGACCGUUUGUCUUCUUCUUGGAUUCGUUCUUCUUCCUUGCGGGAUCUCAGGCAAGAUGAUCAUACCCUCGAAAUCACUACUAUCUUUGCUAUGCUAGUUUGCUCGCUCUUUUGCAAUGCCAAUGCUACGAUGCCUACCACUUGCUUGUCAGCCACCCAAAUUGCCAUGUUCAGCCUCUAACCCACCAAUGUCCUAGCAAACCGUUGAUUGGCUAUGUACCGCUUUGCUCAGCCCCUCUUAUAGCGUUGUUAGUUGCAGGUGAAGAUUGAAGUUUGUUCCUUGUUGGAACAUGGAGAUGUUGUUCCUUGUUGGAACAUGUUUACUUGUUGGGAUAUCACAAUAUAUCUUAUUUAAUUAAUGCAUCUAUAUACUUGGUAAAGGGUGGAAGGCUCGGCCUUAUGCCUGGUGUUUUGUUCCACUCUUGCCGCCCUAGUUUCCGUCAUAUCGGUGUUAUGUUCCCGGAUUUUGCGUUCCUUACACGGUUGGGCUAUAAUGGGAACCCCUUGACAGUUCGCCUUAAGUAAAGCUCUUCCAGCAAUGCCCAACAUUGGUUUUACCAUUUGCACUAACAACCUACCACCUUCCCUUGGGUUCUGCAGACUCAAGGGUCAUCUUUAUUCUAACCCCCCCGGGCCAGUGCUCCUCUGAGUGUUGGUCCGAACUGAGCUGCCUGCGGGGCCACCUCGGGGAAACUUGAGGGUUGGUUUUACUCGUAGCUAGUCUCAUCUGAGUGUGCCCUGAGAAAGAGAUAUGUGCAGCUCCUAUCGGGAUUUGUCGGCACAUUCGGGCGGUGUUGCUGGUUUAGUUUUACCCUGUCGAAAUGUCUUGUUGUACCGGGAUACCGAGUCUGAUCGGAAUGUCUCGGGUGGAGGUCUAUUCCUUCGUUGACCGUGAGAGCUUGUCAUGGGCUAAGUUGGGACACCCCUGCAGGGAUUUGAACUUUCGAAAGCCGUGCCCGCGGUUAUGGGCAGAUGGGAAUUUGUUAAUGUCCGGUUGUAGAAAACCCGAAGUUGACCUUAAUUAAAAUACAUCAACCGUGUGUGUAACCGUGAUGGUCUCUUUCCGGCGGAGUCCGGGAAGUGAACACGGUGUUGGAGUUAUGCUUGACGUAGGUUGCUAUAGGAUCACUUCUUGAUCAUACUUUUAUCGGCCGUGCUUUGCCUUCUCUUCUCGCUCUCAUUUGCGUAUGUUAGCCACCAUAUAUGCUAGUCGCUUGCUGCAGCUCCACCUCAUGCCUUUACCUUACCCAUAAGCUUAAAUAGUCUUGAUCUCGCGGGUGCGAGAUUGCUGAGUCCCCGUGGCUCACAGAUACUUCCAAAACCAGUUUGCAGGUGCCUAUGUUACCGUGCAGAUGACGCAACCAAGCUCAAGGAGGAGCUCGAUGAAGAUCUUGCCCUUUGUGUUGUUUCGUUCUAGUUGAUCAGUAGUGGAGCCCAGUUGGGGUCGAUCGGGGACCUUUGUCGCAUUUGGGGUUCUUCUUUUAUUUUGGUUCCAUAGUCGGACCUUGAUUGUAUCUGGAUGAUGUAAUGCUUUAUUCAUGUAAUUGUGUGAAGUGGCGAUUGUAAGCCAACUAUGUAUCUCUUUCCCUUAUGUAUUACAUGG
rnacentral:lncRNA from 1 species